UGCUCUUACUCGCUGAGCUAUCUCACCAGCCCCUAGAAUGAAUAGUUUAUGAGCUUCUUUUUCUGGGAUUUUUUUUUUUCUUGAAGGAUAGAAGAUCAGGCAUUGAUCCUAUUAAUUUCUGUAAUUGUAUAGGUGGGGGUUGAAACAGGCCAUUGCCUGCUUCUUCAUUUUCUUAACUAUAUUUCCUGUGUGCUUAUUUUUCUGGAUACUUUUCACCAGAAUAAUAGCUGACGUAACUAGUCACAUUCCCAAAUCAUGUAUUUAUGUUGUCCUUUUGUGAAUCUUGUUCCUUGUCAUUUAUGUAGCAAUCUUUUUCUCAUACUGCUUUAAUGAAGGAAAAACGAGUUGCAAGCAGAAGGCAGAUUCUUUAGGGGUGAGUUGUGAGUCUAAUACAUAGCCAUUUACAGUUUAUUGUUUUGAAAUGAAAACCAUUUUCUUAGUAGGAAAGGAGCUUGUUUGGGAAAUUUCAGUUAUAAACGUAUGGUUAAUGCAUGUUGUGUAUUAGUUGUAUCUUCUUCAUGGUGACAACUUUCAUUUCUAUGUGGAAUGUAUUAGAAUUCCUGAUACUGUGGUCACAUGCCUUUAAUCCCACCACACUGGAGGCAGAGGCAGGAAGUUGCUGUUAAUUUUGAGGCCAGUCUGGUCUACAUAGCAAGUUUCAGGCUAGCCGGAGCUACAUAAUGCACCCUGUCUUAAAAGAUAAAUAAGUAAAACAACAACAGCAUGUAAGUAAAGCUCAGGUUUUGUAAGUCCAGGACACUUCCCUAGCUUUGCAUAGACUCAACAUCAUCAGAUUAUGAGGAAACUGCCAUUAGAAUUGAGUACAAGUAGUCUUUUCCUCUUUGGAACUUUUCCUUUUUUGUCUUUAAAUUUUAGACUCAACGCUUCUAUUUUAAAGACCUUUAUUUUAUGGACAUGUAUUAUUUUUUUCUUUUUAGAUUGAUUUUCUUUUAUGUGUAUGGAUGUUUUAGGCAUUCAUGUCACCAUAUGUACCACAUGUGUAUAGUGUCCCAUGAAGCCAGAAGAGGGUGUUAUAUCCUGUGUAAUUUGAGUUACAGAAGGCUCUUAGCCAUAUGGGUGUUGGAAACCCAACUUAGAUCCUUUGGAAGAGCAGACAGUAAAGGCUUUUAACUGCUGAACCAUUUUAAGUCCCCAGACAUGUAGGUUUUUAAGAGAAUAUAGAAUGUUUUGUUAAUAGUCACACUUAGGAAAUACAUAUGUAAGUUUGAGAUAUUUUAAUACUAUAGGUGUUUCAUUUAUAAAUGCAAUGAGCCUGCUACUAAAAAUUUAGUAGCAACUCUUAUUUCAUAGUCAUGGAAAAUAGAUUUCUUGGUUAGUAAUAUUUAGUUCUAAACCUGAUGGUCCAGAGAGGCUGGUUGUUGGUCCCAUGUACUGCUCUUACAGAGGACCAGAGUUCCAUUCUCAGCAUCUAUAUCAAACAGCCCACAGCUGUCUAACUCCAGUUUCAGAAGAGCUGAUACUCUUUUCUGUGCUCCAUGGGAUGCUGCGUUCACUUUCAUAUACUCCCACACGGACAUAUAUGCAUACACAUAAUUAAAAAUCAAAAUGAGUUGUAAAAAAAUUAACCUGAUAUGGUUAGUCACAAUAGCAUAUGUUGAUAAUUCAAGGAUUUGGGAGGUUGGAGGAUCAUCAGUUCAAGAACAGCCAGGGCUACAUAGUGAGACUCUGUCUCAAAUCCUCAAACCAAACAAAAUGUUGCUGAAGCUUUUGUUACUUUUUCUUUCUUUUCUUUUUCUCUUCUUUCUUCCCUUUUUUUUUGGGGGGGGGUAUAUAUUUCAAUUAAGAAAACGGAAACAGGUUGGUAAGAUGGCUCAGCUGGUGAAGGUGCUUGCUGCCAAGCUUGAUCUUAAUUAAUUCCUGGGACCCACAUGAUGGAAGCAAGAGAACCAGUUCCUCUUGAAAGUUGUCCUCUGUCCUCCACACACAUGUAUGCACAAUAAAUAAAUGGAAUAAAUCUAAUAGAAUAUAGGCUUAACAGAAAAGAAAAUGGAAACCUACUGUGGAAAUUAGAAAAACAACUGUGUAUAUGUACCUUAUUGCCACAUUAGUAAAAUGCUGUAAUUGAAGUACAGAAUCCUGAGUUAGGAGUAUUCCUUCCACUCCCAACAGAUUUAGUUAGCCUCAUUUUUCCAGUUACAUGUUUUGCUAAUUAAACUUAAAAUUCAGUUUUGUAAAGCUAUCUGUUGUUAUAACAUGAACUUUACCUUCAUCUCAUAGAAAGUAGUGUUUAGAUUAUAUCCAUUUUAGCAGCUACAGUUUAUAAGUUUUUUUUUCUCAUUUAGUUAUUAAAGAAAAGUAUUAUUGUACUUUCAAUGUUUGGGGUGUAUCUGGCAGAAAUGUCAAGGCACUCAUGUGGGUGUCUGUUUUCUUAUUCUACCAUAUGGGAGAGACCUAGCAGUUCAGCCCAAGUUGUAUCUGUACCUGGUGAAGUAUUUCACACAGUCCUCAUUUUGAAUUAAUUAUUUUUGAGACGGAGUCACAUGUAGCCAAGAGGUUGGCCUCAAAGUCAGUUAUUUAGCUGAGGCUGGCCUUGAAUUUAUCAUCUGGUUUCAUUUCACCAAGUGCAAGGAAUAUAUGCAUAUACUACCAUGCCUAGCAACAAUUUUCUUUUAUAUUCAACAUUACCCUCCAAUUUUUUAGGUUUUAUUAAUCAUAAAUUAUCACAUUUCCAGAUUGAACCAAAAGGCUGAAAGAGCAUAUUUUGUUUUAGACUAAUUUUUUUUAAUGGCCAGACAUAUUUAUUUAGCUUAUAAAUCAGAGUUCAUUUGCCACUUUAUUCCCAAUACCCUAGUUUUAUUAGAAAUGCUUAAUUUUCAUCACAGAUUUGCAAAUGAUUCAUAAUAUUCAUACACAUGCUGAUUUCAGUGUUGCUCACAGAUGUUUUUAUUUCAUAUUUUAAGAGCAGUUUGAAUGUUAGUUUUGUUUACAAGUGUCUUAUAGGUUUAUAUAUAAAGAUAACUCCUUAAAAUGAUUUUCCUUUUUACGCAUGUUAAAAUUUUAACCUUACAAGAUAAAUUUUUAGUACCAUGUGUUCUAGAGAAAGCAAAGGAACAGACUAUAACAUGUGUGUUU
rnacentral:lncRNA from 1 species